GGUCACGUAGUGUAGUGGUUAGCACGCAGGAUUUUGAAACAAACUUCCUGAGACCUGAGUUCAAUCCUCGGCGAGACCU
rnacentral:tRNA from 1 species